AUUGAACGCUGGCGGCAGGCCUAACACAUGCAAGUCGAACGGUAACAGGAAGCAGCUUGCUGCUUCGCUGACGAGUGGCGGACGGGUGAGUAAUGUCUGGAAGCUGCCUGAUGGAGGGGGAUAACUACUGGAAACGGUAGCUAAUACCGCAUAAUGUCGCAAGACCAAAGAGGGGGACCUUCGGGCCUCUUGCCAUCGGAUGUGCCCAGAUGGGAUUAGCUUGUUGGUGGGGUAACGGCUCACCAAGGCGACGAUCCCUAGCUGGUCUGAGAGGAUGACCAGCCACACUGGAACUGAGACACGGUCCAGACUCCUACGGGAGGCAGCAGUGGGGAAUAUUGCACAAUGGGCGCAAGCCUGAUGCAGCCAUGCCGCGUGUAUGAAGAAGGCCUUCGGGUUGUAAAGUACUUUCAGCGGGGAGGAAGGGAGUAAAGUUAAUACCUUUGCUCAUUGACGUUACCCGCAGAAGAAGCACCGGCUAACUCCGUG
rnacentral:rRNA from 1 species